rnacentral:rRNA from 1 species
GACGAACACUGGCGGCGUGCUUAACACAUGCAAGUCGAACGAUGAAGCUAGAGCUUGCUCUGGUGGAUUAGUGGCGAACGGGUGAGUAACACGUGAGUAACCUGCCCCGAACUCUGGGAUAACUGCUGGAAACGGUAGCUAAUACCGGAUAUGACCAAUGAAGGCAUCUUCUGUUGGUGGAAAGAAUUUCGGUUCGGGAUGGACUCGCGGCCUAUCAGCUUGUUGGUGAGGUAACGGCUCACCAAGGCGACGACGGGUAGCCGGCCUGAGAGGGUGAUCGGCCACACUGGGACUGAGACACGGCCCAGACUCCUACGGGAGGCAGCAGUGGGGAAUAUUGCACAAUGGGCGCAAGCCUGAUGCAGCAACGCCGCGUGAGGGACGACGGCCUUCGGGUUGUAAACCUCUUUUAGUAGGGAAGAAGCGAAAGUGUCGGUACCUGCAGAAAAAGCACCGGCUAACUACGUGCCAGCAGCCGCCGCGG